AGCGAACGCUGGCGGCAGGCUUAACACAUGCAAGUCGAGCGGGCCCUUCGGGGUCAGCGGCGGCCGGGUGAGUAACGCGUGGGAACGUGCCUUCUGGUCUGGAAUAACCCUGGGAAACUAGGGCUAAUACCGGAUACGCCCUUUUGGGGAAAGGUUUACUGCCGGAAGAUCGGCCCGCGUCUGAUUAGCUAGUUGGUGGGGUAACGGCCUACCAAGGCGACGAUCAGUAGCUGGUCUGAGAGGAUGAUCAGCCACACUGGGACUGAGACACGGCCCAGACUCCUACGGGAGGCAGCAGUGGGGAAUAUUGGACAAUGGGCGCAAGCCUGAUCCAGCCAGGCCGCGGGAGUGAUGAAGGCCUUAGGGUUGUAAAGCUCUGUUAUCCGGGACGAUAAUGACGGUACCGGAGGAAUAAGCCCCGGCUAACUACGUG
rnacentral:rRNA from 1 species